ensembl:lncRNA
GCUGGUGGCUCUGGGGCUGUAGGCCCCUACACAGCCUCUCCUUCCCACCACACGCCCUGUGGUGUCCCCACCACCUUUUCAGCCUGGCAAACUCUUCUGCAACCGACAUUUCCCUGGAGGCUGUCCCUCUAGCACACACAGCAUGGCCCCAAGUUGGUUUCCCAGAUCCAUUAUGGCUGCAAGCCCAGCAGAAACAGCAGUUCUGCAACUUUUCUCUGUCUGGGGGUUGCUGGUGGUUGCACGGAGCAAGGAUGUGGGUGAGGAAGGCCCAGGGGAGGAAGGCUCUCUGCACUGGGGCCUGCAGGCUGCAGGAUGACCCUGCUGCCCUCCUUCCUUCAGCCCUUUCCUCCCCUCCGGGUGCAGCAAGGAGAAGUGUAUGCAAGGCUCAGAGCAUUUGCUAGGGUGGGAAGAAGGCUUUCUCCCUUUCAAUCCCUGAUGGUAAUCUUGGAAAGCAUUGAGGUAAGUUAAGAAAGCGAUUCUAAUGAAUGUGAUAUUCUCCAAGGAAAUAGGCACAAACUGCAACCUAGAGUGGUGCCAGCAAAGCCAGUCACCUCAGCUCUCACUGCUGCCUGCUGGGUUGAGAGAAGUGCUGUUAACAUGUGAAGUUUUAAGCAUAUUUUGGGAAACUCUAGUAAUACUGCCUAAAUCAAUCCUCGUUUUCCUAUGGAUUUAUGAAAUGGUUCAUCUUCCCCGUCAGCCAUGUGUGUUGCGGUAAAUUUAUUUCCCCAUGAGCAGAAGCAGGAAACUUGGCCCCAAGUCUGAGGUAUAUGCUCCCCUGUACAGAAACAGAACGGUAGGUCGUGUUUCCCUUGUUAUUGACCAAGGGCAGUCUUAGGUGGGAUUGUGAGAUGCUUCAGUGAGAUAAAUCACCUUUUCUCCAAAAAUAUACUCAACUAUUCCAUGUAGUAUUACCAUGAAACAUAUUUCUUCAUCAUAGCAGAUGCCACAACUCUGUAGCAAAGCAGUUAGCACAGCAACUUCUGCAAAUCCUCCUCGCAUCUACUUGCCAUUCUCAUUCAUGAUGGUCCUUUUAGAUCUUUUGACAUCCCUGUAUAUAUCAAGUUGUUCCUAGCACUUGUCCUCUGCACACUAAAUCUCUUGCAGACUUUUGUGUUUCUUGCAAAAUAGUCCCUGCUUUUACUGAUUUGCUGUCUUUUAAAUUAUAUGGAAAGAAUGCUGUAAGGGAAGGUGAAUUUUUCAUCUUCAAGUACUUCUAUGUUUUAACUCUUUUACACUUGUCUAGUCCUACAUCCAGCGUCAUCAGCUAAAAGCAAACUCAGAGAGACUCCUUCCACCUAUUUCACUCUUCUUCUCCACAUCUCGGGAAGCAUAAGCUCUAUGCUGUUUUCUCUCUCCCCCUGCCAUUUUGUCAGAACUGGGCAGAGAUGCGUGACUGCUGAAGUAUGCUGUUUCCAGCGAUGUUUCUCACUGAGGUGAAAAUUUAGUUCUAAAUAACAUACCCAGACCUAAUGCAAAUAAUGAGGGUAUUCCAGUCUUGUUCCUCUGGCAGACUCCUGCAUCAAUGGUUCUCGAUAACAAGAAUCAUG